AGCAGCCGCGGUAAUUCCAGCUCCAAUAGCGUAUAUUAAAGUUGUUGCAGUUAAAAAGCUCGUAGUUGAAUUUCGGGGUCAGUAGGUUGGUCAUGCCUUUGGUAUGUACUGGUCUCACUGAUUCCUCCCUCUUGAAGAACUGUAAUGUCAUUAAUUUGGUGUUGCGGGGAAUCAGGACUGUUACUUUGAAAAAAUUAGAGUGUUUAAAGCAGGCUUACGCUUGAAUACAUUAGCAUGGAAUAAUGAAAUAGGACGUUUGAUCCUAUUUUGUUGGUUUCUAGGAUUGACGUAAUGAUUAAUAGGGAUAGUUGGGGGCAUUAGUAUUCAAUUGUCAGAGGUGAAAUUCUUGGAUUUAUUGAAGACUAACUACUGCGAAAGCAUUUGCCAAGGGUGUUUUCAUUAAUCAAGAACGAAAGUUAGGGGAUCGAAGACGAUCAGAUACCGUCGUAGUCUUAACCAUAAACUAUGCCGACUAGGGAUCGGAUGAUGUUAAUUUUUUAAUGACUCAUUCGGCGCCUUA
rnacentral:rRNA from 1 species